UACGAAGGGGGCUAGCGUUGCUCGGAAUCACUGGGCGUAAAGCGCACGUAGGCGGCUUUUAAGUCAGGGGUGAAAUCCUGGAGCUCAACUCCAGAACUGCCUUUGAUACUGAGAGCUUGAGUCCGGGAGAGGUGAGUGGAACUGCGAGUGUAGAGGUGAAAUUCGUAGAUAUUCGCAAGAACACCAGUGGCGAAGGCGGCUCACUGGCCCGGUACUGACGCUGA
rnacentral:rRNA from 1 species